GAUGAAUGCUGGCGGCGUGCUUAACACAUGCAAGUCGAGCGAGAAGUUUUGAAAAGAUUCUUCGGAUGAAAUUUAAAAUGGAAAGCGGCGGACGGGUGAGUAACGCGUAGGCAACCUGCCCCAUACAAAGGGAUAGCAUUUGGAAACGAAUAUUAAUACCUUAUGAAACUUAACUAGUGCAUGCUAGGUAGGUCAAAGAUUUAUCGGUAUGGGAUGGGCCUGCGUCUGAUUAGCUAGUUGGUGAGGUAACGGCUCACCAAGGCGACGAUCAGUAGCCGACCUGAGAGGGUGAACGGCCACAUUGGAACUGAGACACGGUCCAAACUCCUACGGGAGGCAGCAGUGGGGAAUAGUGCACAAUGGGGGAAACCCUGAUGCAGCAACGCCGCGUGAACGAGGAAGGCCUUUGGGUCGUAAAGUUCUGUUCUAGGUGAUGAAAACUGACAGUAACCUAGGAGAAAGCCCCGGCUAACUCCGUG
rnacentral:rRNA from 1 species